GAUGAACGCUGGCGGCGUGCUUAACACAUGCAAGUCGAACGAUGAUGCCCAGCUUGCUGGGUGGAUUAGUGGCGAACGGGUGAGUAACACGUGAGUAACCUGCCCUUGACUCUGGGAUAAGCCUGGGAAACUGGGUCUAAUACCGGAUACGACCAUCUGGCGCAUGUCAUGGUGGUGGAAAGCUUUUGUGGUUUUGGAUGGACUCGCGGCCUAUCAGCUUGUUGGUGGGGUAAUGGCCUACCAAGGCGACGACGGGUAGCCGGCCUGAGAGGGUGACCGGCCACACUGGGACUGAGACACGGCGCAGACUCCUACGGGAGGCAGCAGUGGGGAAUAUUGCACAAUGGGCGCAAGCCUGAUGCAGCGACGCCGCGUGAGGGAUGACGGCCUUCGGGUUGUAAACCUCUUUCAGUAGGGAAGAAGCGAAAGUGACGGUACCUGCAGAAGAAGCGCCGGCUAACUACGUG
rnacentral:rRNA from 1 species